GAUGAAGAACGCAGCGAAAUGCGAUAAGUAAUGUGAAUUGCAGAAUUCAGUGAAUCAUCGAAUCUUUGAACGCACAUUGCGCCCGCUAGUAUUCUGGCGGGCAUGCCUGUCCGAGCGUCAUUUCAACCCUCAAGCCCCCGGGCUUGGUGAUGGGGAUCGGCGAGCCUCCGCGCCCGCCGUCCCCUAAAUCUAGUGGCGGUCUCGCUGUAGCUUCCUCUGCGUAGUAGCACACCUCGCACUGGGAAACAGCGCGGCCACGCCGUUAAACCCCCAACUUCUGAACGUUUGACCUCGGAUCAGGUAGGAAUACCCGCUGAACUUAAGCAUAUCAAUAAGCGGAGGA
rnacentral:misc_RNA from 1 species